GAAGAAGAAGAAGAAGAAGAGGGAGACGGGAAGAAACUGAUCCUCAAUUGGAACAAAAAUUGAGUGAACUGAUCAUCCCAGGGGUAUUGUUAGUGCUCCAGUUUGGGGUUUGAGUGAUUGAUUGGAGGAGGUUGAAGGUCUGUUAGCAAAAACAAAUAGGUGAGAUUUCAUCUUUGUAU